UACUGGAGGACAGGUGCUGCAUGGCUGUCGCCAGCUCGUGUCGUGAGGAUGUUGGGUUAAGUCCCGUAACGAGCGCAACCCUUGUCCUUAGUUACCAGCACGUUAUGGUGGGCACUCUAAGGAGACUGCCGGUGACAAACCGGAGGAAGGUGGGGAUGACGUCAAGUCAUCAUGGCCCUUACGGCCUGGGCUACACACGUGCUACAAUGGUCGGUACAAAGGGUUGCCAAGCCGCGAGGUGGAGCUAAUCCCAUAAAACCGAUCGUAGUCCGGAUCGCAGUCUGCAACUCGACUGCGUGAAGUCGGAAUCGCUAGUAAUCGUGAAUCAGAAUGUCACGGUGAAUACGUUCCCGGGCCUU
rnacentral:rRNA from 1 species